rnacentral:rRNA from 1 species
GACGAACGCUGGCGGCGUGCUUAACACAUGCAAGUCGAACGGAAAGGCCCUGCUUUUGUGGGGUGCUCGAGUGCCGAACGGGUGAGUAACACGUGAGUAACCUGCCCUUGACUUUGGGAUAACUUCAGGAAACUGGGCCUACUACCGGAUAGGAGCUCCUCCUCCAUGGUGGGGGUUGGAUAGUUUCGGCGGUUGGGGAUGGACUCGCGGCUUACCAGCUUGUUGGUGGGGUAGUGGCUUACCAAGGCUUUGACGGGUAGCCGGCCUGAGAGGGUGACCGGCCACAUUGGGACUGAGAUACGGCCCAGACUCCUACGGGAGGCAGCAGUGGGGAAUAUUGCACAAUGGGCGGAAGCCUGAUGCGGCAACGCCGCGUGCGGGAUGACGGCCUUCGGGUUGUAAACCGCUGUCGCCUGUGACGAAGCGUGAGUGACGGUAAUGGGUAAAGAAGCACCGGCUAACUACGUG